rnacentral:rRNA from 1 species
UACAGAGGGGGCAAGCGUUGUUCGGAAUUACUGGGCGUAAAGGGCGCGUAGGCGGCCCGCUAAGUCGAACGUGAAAGCCCCGGGCUCAACCUGGGAACUGCAUUUGGGACUGCAAGGCUGGAGUACGGCAGAGGGAGGUGGAAUUCCACGUGUAGCAGUGAAAUGCGUAGAGAUGUGGAGGAACACCGAUGGCGAAGGCAGCCUCCUGGGCUAGUACUGACGCUCAUGCACGAAAGCGUGGGGAGCAAACAGG